UGGACAGAUUAUUGUAUUCGACUAUAUUCGCGGCGUGAAAUAGGGGAUUACACUGUUUUUAAAACGGAAAGUGAAUCAAUUAACAUAAUAGACUCCU
rfam:Nicotiana attenuata strain TT chromosome 10, whole genome shotgun sequence.